rnacentral:rRNA from 1 species
UACGGGGGGGGCUAGCGUUGUUCGGAAUUACUGGGCGUAAAGGGCGCGUAGGCGGCCUACUAAGUCGGACGUGAAAUCCCUCGGCUCAACCGGGGAACUGCGUCCGAUACUGGUGGGCUCGAAUCCGGGAGAGGGAUGUGGAAUUCCAGGUGUAGCGGUGAAAGUGCGUAGAUAUCUGGAGGAACACCGGUGGCGAAGGCGGCAUCCUGGACCAUUACUGACACUGAAAGCGAAAGCCAGGGAGCAACGG